AUGAAAACGAAGCAUCUUACCGCAACGUAACGUAAAUUUUUCUUGGAAAUGGAGGUGAUCUGCAGGUUUCAGCGAUGGUACGUGAAAGGGAAGAAAAUG